UGCAUCGCUCAUUUCCCCCGACAUGGCCUGUGUGGUGUGUUGACAAGCUUUGCGCUAAUUCGGAGUGCUCACUGCUCAGCCAGCCAUGUGCCACUCUGUAUCUGCCACGAAAUUUGGACAAAAUGCAUACUUCAAGAUACUGCUGCAACACCUCUGUGCUGUUCCUUGAUGCAAUCAGAAAUGAACAUUUCAAAGUUUGGAUGUGGAAAGAUUCAGAGAAAAUCAUGUAAA